GUUCCUGUCGUCCAACGGCCAGGACAGCAGCCUUUCAAGCCGACAACCCGGGUUCGACCCCCGGCAGGAAUA
rnacentral:tRNA from 1 species